ACUCCUACGGGAGGCAGCAGUGGGGAAUAUUGCACAAUGGGCGCAAGCCUGAUGCAGCGACGCCGCGUGCGGGAUGACGGCCUUCGUGGUUGUAAACCGCUUUCAGCAGGGACGAAAAUGACGGUACCUGCAGAAGAAGCUCCGGCUAACUACGUGCCAGCAGCCGCGGUAAU
rnacentral:rRNA from 1 species